rnacentral:rRNA from 1 species
GUGAGUCAUCGAAUCUUUGAACGCACCUUGCACUCUUUGGUAUUCCGAAGAGUAUGUCUGUUUGAGUGUCAUGAAACUCUCAACCCCCCUGUUUUGUAACGAGAUAGGCGUGGGCUUGGAUUAUGGUUGUCUGCCGGCGUCAAGUCGGCUCAACUGAAAUAUACGAGCAACCCAUUUGAAAUAGACGGUUUGACUCGGCGUAAUAAUUAUUAUCGCUGAGGACGUCUAACCUUCAAAUCGUUAGUGGUGCUUCUAAUGCAAAUCAUUUUAAGAUUUAGACCUCAAAUCAGUCAGGAUUACCCGCUGAACUUAA